rnacentral:rRNA from 1 species
GAUGAACGCUGGCGGCGUGCCUAAUACAUGCGAGUCGAGCGAACAGACGAGGAGCUUGCUUUUCUGAUGUUAGCGGCGGACGGGUGAGUAACACGUGGAUAACCUACCUAUAAGACUGGGAUAACUUCGGGAAACCGGAGCUAAUACCGGAUAAUAUUUUGAACCGCAUGGUUCAAAAGUGAAAGACGGUCUUGCUGUCACUUAUAGAUGGAUCCGCGCUGCAUUAGCUAGUUGGUAAGGUAACGGCUUACCAAGGCAACGAUGCGUAGCCGACCUGAGAGGGUGAUCGGCCACACUGGAACUGAGACACGGUCCAGACUCCUACGGGAGGCAGCAGUAGGGAAUCUUCCGCAAUGGGCGAAAGCCUGACGGAGCAACGCCGCGUGAGUGAUGAAGGUCUUCGGAUCGUAAAACUCUGUUAUUAGGGAAGAACAUAUGUGUAAGUAACUGUGCACAUCUUGACGGUACCUAAUCAGAAAGCCACGGCUAACUACGUG